UACGGAGGGUGCGAGCGUUGUCCGGAAUCAUUGGGCGUAAAGGGCGCGUAGGUGGCCCGGUCAGUUCGUGGUGAAAGCGCGGGGCUCAACCCUGCGUCGGCCAUGAAUACUGCCGCGGCUGGAGCACUGUAGAGGCAGGCGGAAUUCCGGGUGUAGCGGUGGAAUGCGUAGAUAUCUGGAGGAACACCGGUGGCGAAGGCGACAUCCUGGACCGGUAUUGACGCUGAGGCGCGAAAGCCAGGGGAGCAAACGGG
rnacentral:rRNA from 1 species